rnacentral:rRNA from 1 species
GUUUCGGCACGAGUUGUAGAGUGUAGGCGGGAGUCUCUGUGGAGCGCGGUGUCCAAGUCCCUUGGAACAGGGUGCCUGAGAGGGUGAGAGCCCCGUAGGGUGCUGCGCGAAGCUUUUGAGAGGCCCUGCUGACGAGUCGAGUUGUUUGGGAAUGCAGCUCCAAGCGGGUGGUAAAUUCCAUCUAAGGCUAAAUAUUGGCGAGAGACCGAUAGCGAACAAGUACUGUGAAGGAAAGAUGAAAAGCACUUUGAAAAGAGAGUGAAACAGCACGUGAAAUUGUUGAAAGGGAAGGGUAUUGGGCUCGACAUGGGGGGUGCGCACCGCUGUCUCUUGUAGGCGGCGCUCUGGGCGCCCUAUGGACCAGCAUCGGUUCCUGCUGCGGGAGAAGGGGCUCCGGAAAGGGCUCUCGGAGUGUUAUAUGAUGACCAGAUGCCGCGUGUGGGGACCGAGGAC